rnacentral:rRNA from 1 species
AGAACGAACGCUGGCGGCAUGCCUAACACAUGCAAGUCGAACGCCUGUAGCAAUACAGGAGUGGCGCACGGGUGAGUAACGCGUGGGAACCUGCCCUGGAGUGGGGGAGUAACCGAGAGAAAUUUACGGCUAAUACCGCAUACGUCCUGAGGGAGAAGAUUAGUCGCUCUAGGAGGGCCCGCGUCGGAUUAGCUAGUUGGUGGGGUAACGGCCUACCAAGGCUACGAUCCGUAGCUGGUCUGAGAGGAUGAUCAGCCACACUGGGACUGAGACACGGCCCAGACUCCUACGGGAGGCAGCAGUGGGGAAUAUUGGACAAUGGGGGGAAACCCUGAUCCAGCAAUGCCGCGUGAGUGAUGAAGGCCUUAGGGUUGUAAAGCUCUUUCGGCGGGACGAUGAUGACGGUACCCGCAGAAGAAGCCCCGGCUAACUUCGUGCCAGCAGCCGC